rnacentral:rRNA from 1 species
CUGUGGAUUGUCCUUUGGACAAUGGUAGGAGAGCGUUCUAAGGGCGUUGAAGCAUGAUCGUAAGGACAUGUGGAGCGCUUAGAAGUGAGAAUGCCGGUGUGAGUAGCGAAAGACGGGUGAGAAUCCCGUCCACCGAUUGACUAAGGUUUCCAGAGGAAGGCUCGUCCGCUCUGGGUUAGUCGGGUCCUAAGCUGAGGCCGACAGGCGUAGGCGAUGGAUAACAGGUUGAUAUUCCUGUACCACCUAUAAUCGUUUUA